GCCAGACUCCUACGGGAGGCAGCAGUGGGGGAUAUUGCACAAUGGGGGGAACCCUGAUGCAGCGACGCCGCGUGGGUGAAGAAGCGCCUCGGCGCGUAAAGCCCUGUCAGCAGGGAAGAAAAUGACGGUACCUGACUAAGAAGCCCCGGCUAACUACGUGCCAGCAGCCGCGGUAAUACGUAGGGGGCAAGCGUUAUCCGGAUUUACUGGGUGUAAGGGGAGCGUAGGUGGCAUGGUAAGCCAGAAGUGAAAACCCAGGGCUCAACUCUGCGGAUUGCUUUUGGAACUAUCAAGCUAGAGUGCUGGAGGGGUAAGCGGAAUUCCUAGUGUAGCGGUGAAAUGCGUAGAUAUUAGGAGGAACACCGGUGGCGAAGGCGGCUUACUGGACAGAAACUGACACUGAGGCUCGAAAGCGUGGGGAGCAAACAGGAUUAGAUACCCCAGUAGC
rnacentral:rRNA from 1 species